rnacentral:rRNA from 1 species
UGGGGAAUAUUGCACAAUGGGCGCAAGCCUGAUGCAGCCAUGCCGCGUGUAUGAAGAAGGCCUUCGGGUUGUAAAGUACUUUCAGCGGGGAGGAAGGUGUUGAGGUUAAUAACCUCAGCAAUUGACGUUACCCGCAGAAGAAGCACCGGCUAACUCCGUGCCAGCAGCCGCGGUAAUACGGAGGGUGCAAGCGUUAAUCGGAAUUACUGGGCGUAAAGCGCACGCAGGCGGUCUGUCAAGUCGGAUGUGAAAUCCCCGGGCUCAACCUGGGAACUGCAUUCGAAACUGGCAGGCUAGAGUCUUGUAGAGGGGGGUAGUAUUCCAGGUGUAGCGGUGAAAUGCGUAGAGAUCUGGAGGAAUACCGGUGGCGAAGGCGGCCCCCUGGACAAAGACUGACGCUCAGGUGCGAAAGCGUGGGGAGCAAACA